rnacentral:rRNA from 1 species
GACGAACGCUGGCGGCGUGCUUAACACAUGCAAGUCGAACGGAAAGGCCCUGCUUUUGUGGGGUGCUCGAGUGGCGAACGGGUGAGUAACACGUGAGUAACCUGCCCUUGACUUUGGGAUAACUUCAGGAAACUGGGGCUAAUACCGGAUAGGAGCUCCUGCUGCAUGGUGGGGGUUGGAAAGUUUCGGCGGUUGGGGAUGGACUCGCGGCUUAUCAGCUUGUUGGUGGGGUAGUGGCUUACCAAGGCUUUGACGGGUAGCCGGCCUGAGAGGGUGACCGGGCACAAUGGGACUAAGAUACGGCGCAGACUCCUACGGGAGGCAACAGGGGGGAAUAUUACACAAUAGGCGGAAGCGUGAGGCAGCAGCGCCGCGUGCGGGAUGACGGCCUUCGGGUGGUAAACCGCUUUCGCCUGAGACGAAGCGUGAGUGACGGUAAUGGAUAAAGAAGCACCGGCUAACUACGUG